rnacentral:tRNA from 1 species
ACUUUUAAAGGAUAACAGCUAAUCCAUUGGUCUUAGGA